rnacentral:rRNA from 1 species
GUGUUGUUCGUCAAGGACCUCAUCAACUCUGCCGACGACGUGCAACUACUGGAGAGGAAGGGGAUCCUGGAGCACGACCUCGCUGACGACGACAACGCUGUGGUGAGGCUCUUCAACAGCCUCACCAGAGACGUGUCCAAGAAUUGGAAGAGUCAGUUGUUCCAGGUGCGUCAGGACGUGGAUCACCAUUACUGCAGCAACCCUUUGCGUGUCUUUCUCUAUGAGGCUUGGUCAAACCUCAAGAGCAAGUACUUCAGGAGCCCGUGGACACUCCUCGCCCUUGUCACCGCAAUCCUGCUCGUCAUCGGAGAUAUCGUGCAGGCCGUGUAUGCAGUCAUAUCCUAUGAUCCAAACGAGAAGGGCAAGCCCAAAAUGAAUUAA